rnacentral:lncRNA from 1 species
AGUGUAAUGUGACAAACCUUUUUUAAAAUAAUAUAUAUGAAUUAUGAUAAUUUAUUUCGCUGCUAUUUUCAAAUACGGCAUUCCUAUGUCUACGCAGGCCGGUUAUAUAUUUUUAAAAGCUUCUUUCUUUGUGGUCUAUCGCUACGUCUUCAAUCUGUAAACCAAUGCCUAACGGAGUGACGAGACUAUGAAUUUAUUAUUGGUUAAUUUUUUAGACCCACCGACUGAGUUGAUCUCGUGAUCUACUCAGAACGGUAAUGGACCGACCCAACACGAGAAGAAAAUUAUCAUUAAGGACUACUAUAAGUUCUUCUAGUUGUCAUUAAUGCGAUAUUUAAUCCAUUAUUUCUAUAGAAAUAAUAAUGGUAUCUCUUAAUUCAAACAAAUCAUAAAUUUUUGUUGAGGAAUAGGCGAACUUUAAGAAGUGAAUGGUGCUGCUGUAAUAAUUCUUUUGCACUUAUCGAUAUUAAAAAAACAAAACAUGAUGAUACUUCCAAUAUUUCUAAAUACCCUUUAUGAUACUUGGAAGGAUGUCUAGGUGAUACUCUAUAUCCAGUAAAGGGGUAAACCUCUAGUUGAAAGUUCAAAGCUAUAAUUAUACAAUGAAAAAAAUUAAUAUAUAGGUAUAUAUUAUUUCAUGAAUUCGAAUCAUACUCUUAUGACUUAUUUCGUAUAAUAUAUCAUCAUCCUAAUUAGAACAACGCUGGAGAAAAUGAAUGCCAUUUUUCAUCUUCUCCAAGAGUCAUAUUCACAUUUUGUUGCCGAAGCAGACAUAAAGACAUAGGUUGUUUGAAGUGAUGAGACAUUUGCUCCAUUAUGAAUGACAGCUUAGAAGAUUGAACCUGGUCCAUUUCUGCCGACUUGAAGAUAUGUCUAUUUGCAAGAAAAGCUGCAAUUCAUGGCUUCAGUGACAAAAGUUAAUUUUAGUGGCUGAAUUUAUGCAGUGGUAUACAAGGCUCUUAUUUAGUUCGAUGCGGUUACAUAAGAUUGUGAUGGAGAGGAAUAAUUUCACCUCCACUACACCAUUCUUAUCUGAUUUUAUGAUUUUGAAAAAUGCAAUUUUUGGAAUUUUAAGCACCUAGAACUCUCUCUUCCAUGAAUAUUGCAUACCCCAGACCCAACUUUAUUUUCUCUCAUUCUCCAAUUGCAAUAUUUUGGUGCUCGUUGAUACCUGUGUUGGUCUUGAAGGUACUGAGCUGAGGUAGCUCACCUGAUUUGGUCACUUUGAAGGGAUGGCAUCGUCUUUCAACCGUCUGUGGAUUUAUAACUACAUUAUUAAGUCUUGACAAGAAAGAUGUAUGUUUAAUAUAUUAAAGGAACAGAAGUUUUAUUUAUGUCUUAAAUGGAGAUGGGAAAUAAGGAAAAAACAAGCGGUCUUAGUGAUACACAAACAAUAUUUAUAGUAUUGGGGAGCAUUGCUUACCUAAGUUGGCAGUUGGAGGGAUUUUUCUAUUUAUUACAGCAUUCAUCUUCUGGUUUUUUGGACUUUUAUGGAAAAUCUGCGGAGGGUCACAUCCGGAUCCUUUGAAAUGAAGGCAUGACCCUGAUUGCAUCCAGGAACAGAACACUUUGCACUAUGAUAAAUUAUUUAUUAUUAUUAGGUUAUAACGAAACAAAUUAAUAUAAAAUUAAUUAACUAUUGUAAACUAAUUUUUUUGCACGUUUGUAAUAAAAAAGAAUAAGAAUGA